UACGUAGGGCGCAAGCGUUGUCCGGAAUUAUUGGGCGUAAAGAGCUCGUAGGCGGCUUGUCACGUCGAUUGUGGAAGCCCGAGGCUUAACCUCGGGUCUGCAGUCGAUACGGGCUAGCUAGAGUGUGGUAGGGGAGAUCGGAAUUCCUGGUGUAGCGGUGAAAUGCGCAGAUAUCAGGAAGAACACCCGUGGCGAAGGCGGCUCUCUGGGACGGUACUGACGCUGAGACGCGAAAGCGUGGGGAGCGAACAGG
rnacentral:rRNA from 1 species